UCUCUACCCUACACCCUAAACUAAACCACUUCCCAAGCCAGAACACCAGGCACCCAGAUGCCUGCCAGUCAAGACAUGCUGCAGACGGCUUACACUCCCAGGAAAGCCAAGGCCAUCCACCUCCGUGGAGAACCAACCUUCACGGCCAUGGAACUCCACAAGUCUGCAGCAGAAAUGGAGGGACAAACCAUAGGCACAGUGAAGUGAAUCGCUUCUUAGCUGGACACGGAACAAGACUACUCAGGUUUGAUGCUAUCAGCCUGCCUGGAUCUUCUCUUCCGAGGCUUCUAUUUCCCAGCUGUUGUGGAAUAGAAUAUUUGUUUAACUAUGCAAA